CUUGAAUAUUAUUAUAGAUAGAAAUAAACUGUAAACAGCAAUAAUGUUCAGCAAAGUAAGAUUUACAAAUAAGUCAACAUGACCGAAAUGGUCAGUUGACCCUGAAGGAGUUAUUGCCCUUUAUAGUCAAUUUUUAACCAUUUUUUCGUAAAUCUUAGUAAUCUUUUACAAAAGUCUUCUUCUCUGAAACUACUGGGCCAAAUUAAACCAAACUUGGCCACAAUCAUCAUUGGGGUAACUUGUUUAAAAAAUGUGUGGCGUGACCUGGCCAAUCAACCAAAAUGGCUGCCACGGCUAAUAAUAGAACAUAGGGGUAAAAUGCAGUUUUUGGCUUAUAACUCAAAAACCGAAGCAUUAAGAGAAAAUCUGACAGGGUUUAAUUGUUUAUCAGGUCAAGAUCUAUCUGCCCUGAUGUUUUCACAUGGAUCGGACAACCCGUUGUUAGGUUACUGUCCUGAAUUGGUAAUUUUAAGGAAAUUUUGCCGUU
rnacentral:lncRNA from 1 species